UACGUAGGGUGCGAGCGUUGUCCGGAAUUAUUGGGCGUAAAGAGCUCGUAGGCGGUGUGUCGCGUCGGCCGUGAAAACCUGCAGCUUAACUGUGGGCUUGCGGUCGAUACGGGCAUCACUGGAGUUCGGCAGGGGAGACUGGAAUUCCUGGUGUAGCGGUGAAAUGCGCAGAUAUCAGGAGGAACACCGACGGCGAAGGCAGCACUCUGGGCCGGUACUGACGCUGAGGAGCGAAAGCAUGGGGAGCGAACAGG
rnacentral:rRNA from 1 species